rnacentral:misc_RNA from 1 species
AUAGGAGUCUGCAACUCGACUCCUUGAAGUGGGAGUCGCUUGUAAUCGCAAAUCAGCAAAGUUGCGGUGAAUACGUUCUCGGGGUUUGUACACACCGCCUGUCAAGUCACGGAAGUCGGCAAUACCCGAAGCCAGUGGUCCAACCCUUUUGGGAGGAAGCUGUCGAAGGUAGGGUCGGUAACUGGGACUAAGUCGUAACAAGGUAGCCGUACGGGAACGUGCGGCUGGUUCACCUCCUUUCUAAGGAGCACGGAACUCUUGGUUCUAAGGUCAAUCGUCGGUCGUUAACAAGAUUGAUACAUUCAUCAGUUGUGAGAAAGUCAAAUCGGUUUAUAGCAAU